rnacentral:rRNA from 1 species
UACGUAGGGUGCAAGCGUUGUCCGGAAUUAUUGGGCGUAAAGAGCUCGUAGGCGGUCUGUCGCGUCGGGAGUGAAAACCAGGUGCUUAACACCUGGCUUGCUUUCGAUACGGGCAGACUAGAGGUAUUCAGGGGAGAACGGAAUUCCUGGUGUAGCGGUGAAAUGCGCAGAUAUCAGGAGGAACACCGGUGGCGAAGGCGGUUCUCUGGGAAUAUCCUGACGCUGAGGAGCGAAAGUGUGGGGAGCGGACAGG